CCUACGGGUGGCAGCAGUGGGGAAUAUUGCACAAUGGGGGAAACCCUGAUGCAGCGACGCCGCGUGAGUGAAGAAGUACUUCGUUAUGUAAAGCACUAUCAGCAGGGAGGAAAAUGACGGUACCUGAGUAAUAAGCCCCGGCUAACUACGUGCCAGCAGCCGCGGUAAUACGGAGGGGGCAAGCGUGAGCCGGAUUUACUGGGUGUAAAGUGAACGUAGACGGCUGUGCAAGUCUGGAGUGAAAGGCGGGGGCUUAACCCCCGGACUGCUCUGGAUACUGGACGGCUGGAGUGCAGUAGAGGUAAGUAGAAUUCCAAGUGUAGCGGUGAAAUGCGUAGAGAUGAGGAGGAAUACCAGUGGCGAAGGCGGCUUCCUGGACAGUAACUGACGUUGAGGUGUGAAAGCGUGGGGAGCAAACAGGAUUAGAUACCCCAGUAGUC
rnacentral:rRNA from 1 species